UUCACUCUGACAAGAGAAGACACUGUGAGAGGAGCUCUGAUCAUUGGCAGUGCCAACCUGUCGCACUCUGCUGUUUAUUUCUGCGCUGCCAGCACACAGUGAUGUGGUUUAAUGACACUCCCUCUACAAAAACCUUCAUCUAUUCUGACAGAGCAGCACAGAGGCAGGAACAACCUUCAGGAACAACCAGGAACAACCUUCUACAAUAUACAGACUCUUACUAGCAGGAGGAUGCAGAUGGCUGUCAUUGGACUGUUUCUCAUCUUCUUUCCAUAUUCCGUUCAGAGUGUGUUGUUCCAUCAGUCUCAGCCCAGAAUAGCAAACAUAAAGGUCACUGUAGAAAUCACAUGCAGCCACAGCGACAGCGGUCUUAACGUCAUGCUCUGGUACCAGCAGACAGUGAACAGUCAGAUCAGUUUAAUAGGAUACAGCUACAUUAAUAAUGAUCCCAUCUACGAGAAGCAGUUUGAAGAUGGCUUUGAGAUGACGAGAGAGAACGUGCAGACUGGAGCUCUGAUCAUCGGGAGCGUGAAGCUGUCAGACACGGCGGUUUAUUUCUGUGCCGCCAGCACACAAUGAUGUGGUUUAAUAACACUCCUUCACCAAAAACCUGUUCCACACUGAGAGCCAGGAGAGCAGAACCUCAGUACACGAGAGACAAAGUAUUGUUAUUUACAGUACAGCAGAAGUGAGUAUUCCCCCAUGCUGUAUCAGUUAAAUGCCAAAUAAGUCAAUAUUGUAUUAGCUGUCAAUAAUCACGUUAUAAACCCUAUUCAGCCAAGAUUAGUUUAC